rnacentral:rRNA from 1 species
UUUUGGACAAUGGGCGAAAGCCUGAUCCAGCAAUGCCGCGUGUGGGAAGAAGGCCUUCGGGUUGUAAACCACUUUUCUACGGAACGAAAAGGUCUGCCCUAAUACGGUGGGCCCAUGACGGUACCGUAAGAAUAAGCACCGGCUAACUACGUGCCAGCAGCCGCGGUAAUACGUAGGGUGCGAGCGUUAAUCGGAAUUACUGGGCGUAAAGCGUGCGCAGGCGGUUAUAUAAGACAGUUGUGAAAUCCCCGGGCUCAACCUGGGAAUUGCAUCUGUGACUGUAUAGCUAGAGUACGGUAGAGGGGGAUGGAAUUCCGCGUGUAGCAGUGAAAUGCGUAGAUAUGCGGAGGAACACCGAUGGCGAAGGCAAUCCCCUGGAGCCUGUACUGACGCUCAUGCACGAAA